GACGAACGCUGGCGGCGUGCUUAACACAUGCAAGUCGAACGGAAAGGCCCUGCUUUUGUGGCGUGCUCGUGUGGCGAACGUGUGAGUCUCCCGUGAGUAACCUGCCCUUGACUUUGGGCUAUCUUCAGGAAACUGGGGCUAAUACCGCAUAGGAGCUCCUGCUGCCUGGUGGGGGUUUGAUUGUUUCGGCGGUUGGGGAUGGGGUCGCGGCUUCUAAGCUUGUUGUUGGGGUAGUGUCUUACCAAGGCUUUGAGGGGUAGCCGGCCUGAGCGGGUGACCGGCCACAAUGGGAGGGAGAUAAGACGCAGAAGACUACGGGAGGAAGCAGUGGGGAAUAUUGCACAAUGGGGGGAAGCCGGAUGAAGGAACGCCGCGGGGGGGAUGAAGGCCGUCGGGGUGUAAACAGCUUGCGCAUGUGAAGAAGAGAGAGUGACGGUAAUGGGUAAAGAAGCACCGGCUAACUACGUG
rnacentral:rRNA from 1 species